CGGCCGCGUCGACCGAUAGCGAACAAGUACCGUGAGGGUAAGUUAGAAAAGAACUCUAGAAUAGAGAAGUUAAAAGUACGUAGAACCGCUUAGGGGUUAAGCCUGAUGAACCUGAAUAUCUGAAAAGGAAAUUCAAUAUAUUUUAAAUUGAUUCUUCGGAAUUCAAUGGACAAAUGUAUGCACUUUCCUUUAGUAAGACGUUGCGAUGUCGACGCGGCCG
rnacentral:rRNA from 1 species